rnacentral:lncRNA from 1 species
CGCCUAAAUCUAUCAUUUCUAAUGAAUCGGCCGACGUGAACCCGUGUCCUAGCUUUCCAUCUUCCCGGGCGAACUGAUCCAUUUAGUUCGAAUCUUCGGAGCCGACUGCUCGGAUCGGCUGUAGGCCAAAAUCGGACACCUUCAGGAAAUCAGUGUCCCAUAUCCUCCCGGAUAUGCACUUGACAUUCUCGCAGCUCCAUUGCUGCGUAUCGGCUGCCGCGAC